rnacentral:rRNA from 1 species
AACGUAGGUGGCGAGCGUUAUCCGGAUUUACUGGGUGUAAAGCGUGUGCAGGCGGAAGGCCAAGUGGUGUAUGAAAUCGUCCGGCUCAACCGGGCGGGGUUAUGCCAGACUGGCCAUCUAGAGUGCGAGAGAGGGGCGUGGAAUUCCGGGUGUAGUGGUGAAAUGCGUAGAGAUCCGGAGGAACCCCAGAGGCGAAGGCGGCGCCCUGGCUCGCAACUGACGCUCAGACACGACAGCAUGGGGAGCGAACGGG